UAUUAGCACCAUAUCACGUCGAAAACACCGGUUUUCGUCGGUUCACCGAAGUUAUGCAACGUCCAGUCCAACAUAAUUCAUUCUUAGAUGAGUGACCGCUUGGGAAUCCUAGGUGCUUGUAA
rnacentral:rRNA from 1 species